rnacentral:rRNA from 1 species
UGACCGCUGGCGGCGUGCCUAAUACAUGCAAGUCGAGCGAACGGACGCGAAGCUUGCUUCUCUGAUGUUAGCGGCGGACGGGUGAGUAACACGUGGAUAACCUACCUAUAAGACUGGGAUAACUUCGGGAAACCGUAGCUAAUACCGGAUAAUAUUUUGAACCGCAUGGUUCAAAAGUGAAAGACGGUCUUGCUGUCACUUAUAGAUGGAUCCGCGCUGCAUUAGCUAGUUGGUAAGGUAACGGCUUACCAAGGCAACGAUGCAUAGCCGACCUGAGAGGGUGAUCGGCCACACUGGAACUGAGACACGGUCCAGACUCCUACGGGAGGCAGCAGUAGGGAAUCUUCCGCAAUGGGCGAAAGCCUGACGGAGCAACGCCGCGUGAGUGAUGAAGGUCUUCGGAUCGUAAAACUCUGUUAUUAGGGAAGAACAUAUGUGUAAGUAACUGUGCACAUCUGGACGGUACCUAAUCAGAAAGCCACGGCUAACUACGU